UACGUAGGGUGCGAGCGUUAAUCGGAAUUACUGGGCGUAAAGGGCUCGUAGGCGGCCAACUAAGUCAGACGUGAAAUCCCUCGGCUUAACCGGGGAACUGCGUCUGAUACUGGAUGGCUUGAGUUUGGGAGAGGGACGCGGAAUUCCAGGUGUAGCGGUGAAAUGCGUAGAUAUCUGGAGGAACACCGGUGGCGAAGGCGGCAUCCUGGACCGGUAUUGA
rnacentral:rRNA from 1 species